AAGGUGUGACCUAUCAACUGUCGACUGUGGCAUAGACGCCCACAGUGGUUUUGACGGGUAACGGGGAAUUAGGGUUCGAUUCCGGAGAGGGAGCCUGAGAAACGGCUACCACUUCUAAGGAAGGCAGCAGGCACGCAAAUUACCCACUGGCCGAAGGCCGAGGUAGUGACGAAAAAUAACGAUACCAGACUCAUCCGAGGCCUGGUAAUCGGAAUGAGCACACUUUAAAUCCUUUAGCGAGGAACCAUUGGAGGGCAAGUCUGGUGCCAGCAGCCGCGGUAAUUCCAGCUCCAAUAGCGUAUAUUAAAUUUGUUGCGGUUAAAAAGCUCGUAGUUUGAUUUCGGCGAGCAGGGGGCGGUUCGUUAUUUGACGUAACUGCCCCAUUUGCUCGUGUUUCUUCGGCAGAACUCCCAGGGUGCUCUUCGCCGAGUGUCCUGUUGGGGGCUGCCAGGUUUACUUUGAAAAAAUUAGAGUGCUCCAAGCAGGCUCGACACGCCUGAAUAUUUGUGCAUGGAAUAAUGGAAUAGGACGUCGUUCCUAUUUUGUUGGUUUUAGGGAAUCGACGUAAUGAUUAAUAGGGACAGUCGGGGGCAUUAGUAUUCAGACGACAGAGGUGAAAUUCUUGGACCGUCUGGCGACUCACUGCUGCGAAAGCGUUUGCCAAGUAUGUUUUCAUUAAUCAAGAACGAAAGUUAGAGGUUCGAAGGCGAUCAGAUACCGCCCUAGUUCUAACCAUAAACGAUGCCAGCUAGCGAUCCGCAGAUGUUUUUAUUGUAGGCUCUGCGGGAAGCUUCCGGGAAACCAAAGCUUUUGGGUUCCGGGGGAAGUAUGGUUGCAAAGCUGAAACUUAAAGAAAUUGACGGAAGGGCACCACCAGGCGUGGAACUUGCGGCUUAAUUUGACUCAACACUGGAAAUCUCACCAGGCCCGGACACCGGAAGGAUUGACAGAUUGAGAGCUCUUUCUCGAUUCGGUGGGUGGUGGUGCAUGGCCGUUCUUAGUUGGUGGAGUGAUUUGUCUGGUUAAUUCCGAUAACGAACGAGACUCCGUCCUGCUAAAUAGUUGUAACGUCACACGUGCGUUGCAAAUUCUUCUUAGAGGGACUGGCGGCAUCUAGCCGCACGAGAUGGAGCAAUAACAGGUCUGUGAUGCCCUUAGAUGUUCUGGGCCGCACGCGUGUUACACUGAAGGGAUCAACGUGUCUUCCCUGACCGAGAGGUCCGGGUAACCCGCUGAACCCCCUUCGUGGUAGGGAUCGGAGCUUGCAAUUAUUCUCCGUGAACCAGGAAUGCCCAGUAAGUGCAAGUCAUAAGCUUGCAUUGAUUACGUC
rnacentral:rRNA from 1 species